CUGAGAAUUUGAGAAGAGGAAUCAACAGUUUCGGAAGGUCUUUGCCUUUUGUUCUUGUUUCGAGUGUUAGGUCUCAUUGUGUUGUCUGCACCUCCACCUAAACCCUAAGAUGAUUAAACGAAAGACAUUAUCAUCUCCGGGGAGGUGAAAUCGCAUCGAAACCCAGAUCGAUCGGAGAUAAUAGACCCAACCAGAAAGUACCUGAGUUGAUGAUAGACAGAAAGCAAGUAGAGAUAGAGACAGAGCAAACAGCUUCUUCGUCUUCCCCCGGCGAUUUUUUCUCUAUCUCUUUUUUUUUUUUUUUUUUUUUUCCCUAGCCGUCGUCCCGCGUAGGGCUGCUGCUCAAUAUGGUAAAACCGAACCGUACCGAACCGAACGGAACCGAAAUAGACAAUAUGGUUUGGUUUUGGUAUAUACCAUAUAAACCGAAUGGAUAUAAUUUUAUAAAAACCGUAGGAUUUGGAUAUGGUUUGGUAUAUAACCGAUUAAACCGAAUAAACCGAACAAAACCGAUUAAAAGUAGAAACAUGUAAAUAUAUAUCUAUUUUAUAACAAUA